GUCCUCGGUUAAGCCGGUUCUAUAUCCUCCUAGUCCGCUGCCAUCAUUUAAAACGUCAUUUACGGCCCAAAAACCAUCUCCAUCACCUAAAGGACUGACACCACCUAAAUCAACCACACCGUCUCCGAAACCCUCUUCAUCGUCUUCUAAGCCAUGUCCAUCCCUUAAGCCAACUCUAUCGGAACUAGGGAAAGGAAAGUACAAACCAGUCUAUCCAAAGGAUGCGUUACCGAUUUACAUGAUUCCGAAGGAUAUCGAGGAUUUAAUCAAGAGAGACAUUGUGCCUGAAGUUUUGGGAUUGACAUCACCUAAACCAACCACACCGUCUCCGAAACCCUCUUCAUCGUCUUCUAAGCCAUGUCCAUCCCUUAAGCCAACUCUAUCGGAACUAGGGAAAGGAAAGUACAAACCAGUCUAUCCAAAGGAUGCGUUACCGAUUUACAUGAUUCCGAAGGAUAUCGAGGAUUUAAUCAAGAGAGACAUUGUGCCUGAAGUUUUGGGAUUGACAUCACCUAAACCAACCACACCGUCUCCGAAACCCUCUUCAUCGUCUUUUAAGCCAAGUCCAUCCCUUAAGCCAACUCUAUCGGAACUAGGGAAAGGAAAGUACAAAACACUCAAUCCAGAGGAUACAUUACCGAUUAAGCCGGUUCUAUAUCCUCCUAGUCCGCUGCCAUCAUUUAAAACGUCAUUCACGGCCCAAAAACCAUCUCCAUCACCUAAAGGACUGACACCACCUAAAUCAACCACACCGUCUCCGAAACCCUCUUCAUCGUCUUCUAAGCCAUGUCCAUCCCUUAAGCCAACUCUAUCGGAACUAGGGAAAGGAAAGUACAAAGCAGUCUAUCCAAAGGAUGCGUUACCGAUUUACAUGAUUCCGAAGGAUAUCGAGGAUUU
rnacentral:lncRNA from 1 species